rnacentral:ncRNA from 1 species
CAUCUUCAGGGCAGGGUGUAAUUCCCGACCGGCGGUAAUAGUCCGCGACCUACUUUUUAGGAGUAGUUGAUUCGGUGUAACUCCGAAACCGACAGUAAAGUCUGGUAUAAAGAAGAU